UACAGAGGGGGGCAAGCGUUGUUCGGAAUUACUGGGCGUAAAGGGCUCGUAGGUGGCCAACUAAGUCAGACGUGAAAUCCCUCGGCUUAACCGGGGAACUGCGUCUGAUACUGGAUGGCUUGGAUUUGGGAGAGGGAUGCGGAAUUCCAGGUGUAGCGGUGAAAUGCGUAGAUAUCUGGAGGAACACCCGUGGCGAAGGCGGUUCUCUGGGACGGUACUGACGCUGAGGCGCGAAAGCCAGGGGAGCAAACGGG
rnacentral:rRNA from 1 species